rnacentral:tRNA from 1 species
GGGUCGAUGCUCGAGUGGUUAAUGGGGACGGAUUGUAAAUCCGCUGGCAAUGCCUACGCUGGUUCAAAUCCAGCUCGACCCA